GCGGGCGUAGCUCAGGGGUAGAGCACAACCUUGCCAAGGUUGGGGUCACGGGUUCGAAUCCCGCCGCCCGCUCCA
rnacentral:tRNA from 1 species